rnacentral:rRNA from 1 species
AUACGUAGGUGGCAAGCGUUGUCCGGAAUUAUUGGGCGUAAAGCGCAUGUAGGCGGUAAUUUAAGUCUGUCGUGAAACUGCGGGGCUCAGCCCCGUAUGGCGAUGGAAACUGGGUUACUUGAGUGCAGGAGAGGAAAGGGGAACUCCCAGUGUAGCGGUGAAAUGCGUAGAUAUUGGGAAGAACACCGGUGGCGAAGGCGCCUUUCUGGACUGUGUCUGACGCUGAGAUGCGAAAGCCAGGGUAGCGAACGGGAUUAGAUACCCCGGUAGUCCUGGCCGUAAACGAUGGGUACUAGGUGUGGGAGGUAUCGACCCCUUCCGUGCCGGAGUUAACGCAAUAAGUACCCCGCCUGGGGAGUACGGCCGCAAAGCUUAAACUCAAAUGAAUUGGCGGGG